rnacentral:lncRNA from 1 species
AUGAGAAUCUAACGCCUGAUGACCUAUCACUGUCUCCCAUCACUCCCAGAUGGGACCGUCUAGUUGCAGGAAAACAAGCUCAGGGCUCCCACUGAUUCUACAUUAUGAUCAACUGCAUGGGGUCCUACAGGAGAAGACCAAGAGACAGAGACAGAGACCAGGGAAAAUGACCGAUACCAUUCCUUCUCAGGGAUGCUACACACCCAUGGGGCAGAGGAUAAGAGGUUCCUGAAGGCAUCACCCCUCUGGCCAUGGCUGGUGUGCAGACAAAGCUGGAGAUUUGGAGUAGCCUGUUGUCCCACUGACUCUUAGACUGCCCCAGCUAAGAAGAACCAACUCCUCCUAUUACAGAUGAAAUAAACAAAGCUACUCAAGCUCUCUGGCAUCGCCCUGACGCACACCAAAGAGAGUUCUAGAAAAAAUGAGAAUAAGAAAUUUACCUGUAAUCCUUGCUCAAGAAACUGAAGCUCUGAGGCCACAUUGUUCCAGCCUUUUGCAGCUCCUGCAUGUGGAUACCAGCACCAGCAGCUCCCCGACCAGGGGCCCCAGCUAAGCCCUCCCAGAGGAUGAUCUUGGCUUUGUACAUGGGGUGUCAAUAUCCUGUGAGUCCAACAGAGGGAAGACAUAAGAAUAUGGUCACCCAGGUAACAGACAUUUGUCUUAAUGUAUUCACUGUGUCAUCAGAAGCCACUUCUUAUCCAUCCUUGUGAAUACUUGAUGAAUGAGGAGUCAAUGAUUAAAUGAAGGAAAGAAAAGAGACUGAAAAGGAGGUUUUGUACAGAGGAAAUCCAGGCUCCUAACGAUGGCGAAAGAUGGGAAUAAAAGGAUCAGAACACUGAGCUGGAUCUUCAGUUCAUUUCAGGUAUGGAGAAGGGUAAAUGGUCUUUAAAGAAGGCCGACCUCAAUGAAGGUGUCUUCCAAGGCCUUGUCCACUCAAGGACAUGUUGCAUGCCUGAAACUGAGUAUACAGGAAAAGGAUAGAAAUGGAAUAAAAUGGAAACCCAUAAAUCACACUACCCUGCUAUGCAGUUUCAAACCACUGACUUAAUGAAAUGUUGAUCCACUUUGCCAUGGAUGCCCCACUUUUUAACUCCUUCUUCAGAGUCCCAGGAGGUGAGGCUCUUCUGUUUAACUGAUUUGCAGAAUUUUUGCUUCUGCUAUUACAAUGGCUUCCAUAGUUGAGUACCAAAGACACUUUACUAUGGUGCCACAGAGAUCAUUUUGCAGAUGAGGAAACAGACUGUUCUACUACCCAGGCUUUGGUUUUUUCUACUCAGUCUUGCACAAUCUCUCACUCUCAGCCCAGAACAUUGCUGCAUUUUUGUGAGCCAUCAGCAUCCAAAGUGAACACAGGGUCUAAAUAACUGAAGAUGGCAUGAGGGAACACACAAUCAGGUCUUUAAAAAAAGAAGAAAGUGAAUAGGCAAACUGAACAGGACAUCUAGGACUGAAAAGCCUCUGUGAACAACUGGACUCAAUAUGAAAUUGGCGUGAGCUCACAGAAGACCAGCUGAGUUCCAGAUGUGGUUGGGUAGCUUGGGUUAUGGGCCCGUAUAAAAAAAAUGGUCUCUUCUUGUAAAAGGAAUUCAAAAAAAGACUAAAAGUCACCCCAAAGAG